GCUGGGCGUGGUGGUCUGUGCCUGUAAUCCCAGCUACUCAGGAGGCUGAGACAGGAGGAUUGCUUGAACCCGGGAGGCAGAGGUUGCAGUGUGCUGAGAUGGUGCCACUGCACUCCAGCCUGGGUGACAGAGCAAUACUCUGUCUUAA
ensembl:misc_RNA Metazoa_SRP Metazoan signal recognition particle RNA